rnacentral:rRNA from 1 species
GUACACGCUGUGACUAGCAUAUCAAUAAGCGGAGGAAAAGAUACUAACAAGGAUUCCCCUAGUAACGGCGAGUGAAGCGGGAAGAGCUCAAAUUUGAAAUCUUAAAGGGUUUCCCUUUACGAAUUGUAGUUUAAAGAAGUGUUUUCUGUUGAGGUUUUGGUAAAAGUUCUUUGGAAUAGGACAUCAUAGAGGGUGAGAAUCCCGUAUUUGACCUUUACUUUCAACUUUGUGAUACACUUUCAAAGAGUCGGAUUGUUUGGGAAUGCAGUCCAAAAUGGGUGGUAAAUUUCAUCUAAAGCUAAAUAUUGGCGAGAGACCGAUAGCGAACAAGUACCGUGAGGGAAAGAUGAAAAGAACUUUGAAAAGAGAGUUAAACAGUACGUGAAAUUGUCAAAAGGGAAGCGUUUGACACCAGUGUUGUUUUUCUGAAAAUCAAUUAAAGAACUGUUUAUGCUAAGCUUGUUUAGACCUUUAUCAGCUAUACUGUUUAGUUUUGAGCUUUUCUUUAAUGCACUUUUCAGUUAACAAGUCAACAUCAAUUUCUUUUGCUGUAAAAAAGCUUGAGGAAGGUGGCUUGAGAUUCGUCUUAAGUGUUUAUAGCCUCUUGCCUAUGCAGUCGGAGAGAUUGAGGUCUGCUAGCGUAGAUCCUUCGGGGCUAAAUGCAUUUGUGCUAAGUUAUAGCAUUUUAUAGACAACUUGUUGACUAUGAUUUGUCUUGUAGCUUACUCGCUUAUGUUAUUUUACCUACGCUUAGGAUGUUGACGCGCGUGUGUGCGUG